ensembl:snRNA U6 U6 spliceosomal RNA
GUGCUCGCUUUGGCAGCACAUAUACUAAAAUUGGAACGAUACAGAGAAGAUUAGCGUGGCCUCUGUGCAAGGAUGACACGCAAAUUGGUGAAGCAUUCCAUAUAUUU